rnacentral:rRNA from 1 species
CCUACGGGAGGCAGCAGUGAGGAAUAUUGGUCAAUGGACGAGAGUCUGAACCAGCCAAGUAGCGUGAAGGAUGACUGCCCUAUGGGUUGUAAACUUCUUUUAUAUGGGAAUAAAACGUUCCACGUGUGGGAUUUUGUAUGUACCAUAUGAAUAAGGAUCGGCUAACUCCGUGCCAGCAGCCGCGGUAAUACGGAGGAUCCGAGCGUUAUCCGGAUUUAUUGGGUUUAAAGGGAGCGUAGGUGGAUUGUUAAGUCAGUUGUGAAAGUUUGCGGCUCAACCGUAAAAUUGCAGUUGAAACUGGCAGUCUUGAGUACAGUAGAGGUGGGCGGAAUUCGUGGUGUAGCGGUGAAAUGCUUAGAUAUCACGAAGAACUCCGAUUGCGAAGGCAGUUCACUGGACUGCAACUGACACUGAGGCUCGAAAGUGUGGGUAUCAAACAGGAUUAGAUACCUUUGUAGUC